rnacentral:rRNA from 1 species
GUAUCACGUGAGGAACCUGCCCUGGAGACCGGGAUAGCCCGGGGAAACCCGGAUUAAUACCGGAUAUCUUCUCAGAGCCGCAUGGCUCAGGGAAGAAACGGUCCGCCGCUCCAGGAUGGCCUCGCGGCCUAUCAGCUCGUUGGUGGGGUAACGGCCUACCAAGGCAAAGACGGGUAGCUGGUCUGAGAGGACGAUCAGCCACACUGGGACUGAGACACGGCCCAGACUCCUACGGGAGGCAGCAGCAGGGAAUAUUGCACAAUGGGCGAAAGCCUGACGCAGCGACGCCGCGUGCGGGAUGAAUGCCUUCGGGUUGUAAACCGCUUUCAGCAGGGACGAAAAUGACGGUACCUGCAGAAGAAGCCCCGGCCAACUACGUGCCAGCAGCCGCGGUAACACGUAGGGGGCGAGCGUUGUCCGGAUUUAUUGGGCGUAAAGGGCUCGUAGGUGGCUUGACAAGUCGGUCGUGAAAACCCCGGGGGCUCAACCCCCGGGACGCCGGUCGAAAACUGUCAUGGCUAGGGUCCGGUAGAGGUGAAGUGGAAUUUCUGGGUGUAGCGGUGAAAUGCGCAGAUAUCCAGAGGAACACCAGUAGCGAAGGCGGCUCACUGGGCCGGUACCGACACUGAGGAGCGAAAGCGUGGGGAGCAAACAGGAUUAGGUACCCUGGUAGUCCACGCCGUAAACGUUGAACACUAGGUGUGGCGGACUUAUCCACGUCUGCCGUGCCGUAGCUAACGCAUUAAGUGUUCCG